rnacentral:lncRNA from 1 species
GAAUCCAAAAAUGGUCAUUUGGCCUCAAAGCUACAGUGGUAUUAUUUGAAUGAGUUGGAUGGAAAAAAGAGUCAAGAAAAGGAGACCCCAUGUAGAUGUAGGUUAGUCUGUCAGUUUUCUUAUUCCAAGCUAGAAAUUUGAUAAUUGUACGAGUUAUAGAAGUCCAGUCUUAUGAAACUCAUAUCUUAUACUACUAAUAUGCAGUGCCAAGAUAUAGAAAAUUUAUCGACAAAAGGGUUUCAAGCUGUAAUUUAGAGAAAUAAAAAUCUAAAAAAAAAUUAGAUAAAUAAAACUUGAACUCAGAUUGGUGAGGGGUUAAUAAGCAUAGUUUCGACUAAGCUAUCUACAAAUAUUAAAUAUCAAUUAGUUUUCUUUAUACAUAUUAUAUUAUAUAAAAACGAUAAAGUUAAGAGAACUUCCCCUGGACCUAUACUAAAUCCGCCCGUGCAUGCAUGUUUGGAUUGAUUUUCUAAAUGUUUAUAGUGGUAAAAAAAGGGUUUAUAAACACUUAGAAAGAUAUUACAUAUUACAAGCUACAUAAACAAAACUGCCGUCUGUAUAACCUAAUCUUCUGUACAAGCCAAACACAUAUUACGUUCAAUUCCAAAUUAUGAGCUUAACAUCUCCUAUAAGGUGUGGAAUCUCUAUUCCAUGCAAUGUUGGUACAGAUAGAAAUUAGAGACAUCAUCAGAAACUAUAACAUGGUAUAAGUGGGAACUGGGAAGUGAUUACUUUGUUUUAUAGUACUCACACAAAGAGCAAGAAACAGUAACAAAAAAUGUCAACUAAACAUGCCUAUUUGCACAAAACUUUAUGACUUGGAAAGAAAGGUGGAAGAUAUGCAGAGAGCAUGUAGAACCAUAGCCACGAAAAUUGAUUUCUGACCGGUUGUAAAGACAUCAAUGGAUUAAUCUUGUUUUGAAGUAUUAGCGCAGUACCAUGGUUUAGCUCAACGAUGAUCAGGACUUUUCUUCAUCACCUAACUUCCUUGGUUGAUCACCUGGUGGAAAAAAUGUUGAGAGUUCAUGUUAGAAAAGGGUAAAAAAGAAUGUGUGAGAAUUACUACUGUUGGAAACAAAUGAUCUCACACUCAGAGAGUAAAAGAUCAUUUUUGGUAAGAAAUCGUGUUCUCAAUAAGAAAAUUUUGAAAGAAAACACAAGGAGCAUAACCCCUGCCCCCCCAAAAUUUUCAAAACGGUUACUAACCAACACCUAUAAGGAAGCGUUAUAUCUAGGCACCUCUCAAACAUCCUCACCCAAUUUUUCGACCUCUCCAAAAAUCCAACUUCUUAUGCCUACUACUGCCAAUGGAAUAGAAACAUAACAGCAGACAAUCUUAAUUUUCUACUAACAAGGAUGAACUCAGCCGGUGGUAAUCACAAGUCAACAGGCUGAUGUGGUGCCUAUCCACCUACUUGAAGCUUACCCAGUAGAAUAUGAUGAAGGGGAUUGCAAGUCUUAUAAAUAAACUUACUUUUGAUUCCUCUGAAAUCAUUUGCAAGGAUGAAUCAGUUGAGAAGCCAAGUUUUUGCAUGAUUUCAUCCAAUCGUUUCACAUUGUUCAGGUAAAGGUAACCAAUCUAUAAAAACAUAUAUAUAUAAACAAUAAGUUUCAGACAUUUGUUUGAUGAAAUGUCAAUAUAAUUUCAAAUGAGCAAGAAGUUAAAGGAGGCUAACUAAGGUUUCUAGCGAAGAUGCUCGAUUAUAAACUGCAGCACCAGCACGUUUUUUGGUUCGUGUUUUAGAGGAGGAACCAACAUUUUUUCCCCAUCGAAGGAUGUCCCUACAUUGAAGUUUAUAAGAUCCAACAAAUCAGGAUUCAGGGGAGAAAAGUUCAUGGGUGCAGCAUAUACAUGAAUGAGGAUUAAAGGGGCAGUUAAAUUUUCCACUUCUUACUGACAACUGAGUUCCAUGCAUUAAAGUUGGGAAUGAAGACAAGGUAAUAAAAUGCUUAAAUACUUAAACUGACCUCUCUGCCUCUGUUAAGAAAUUAUCAUUUAGAAGUUUCUGCAGUAGAACAUCCUGAAAUACAAAAAAAAAAAAAAAUCAAUCUGAGUAUAGACGUCUUCUACCUUGUAUCAGUAAGAGGAAAUACAAUGUGGUUGUACAAUUGAGAUCCAUAUAAUCUAAAGAUGGCUCCAUUGUUAACAAAUUAGAAGAAAACAGAACAGAACAUUCCCAGUUUCCUGCUUUUUGGAUGGAGGGUUGGGAAAACUCAUGAGGAGUUGGAAAGUUAUGGACAUCAGUCAAUCUGACCUUACAACUUACAUAACAAACGCAUACUAAGUGGGAGCUGAAAGUGAAAUAUCACUACUUUCAGUGUCAGUUAGGCCUCCUAUUAAGCAAAUGUCUAAGAGGAGGGGAGAAAAGGGCACACCCCCAACAAAGGGAUAGUUGGCCGUGGUCCUGAGGCCUAAUGUGGCAAGAGAAUGUUGGUAUAUUGUUGUUUUGUGCUAGGUUUAGUUAUCUUGGUUUAUGUGUUUUGUAUCGAACAAUAGUUCACUUUAAAAAGAACAACCCUCUUAUUUGGCUGGGUAUUAUUUGUGACUAGUAAUCUUGUGCUGUGAAUCUAGUUUGCUAUUCCCCUAUUCUUGUGUUUCUAGUUGAUUAUUUCUUCAAGUGAUUUCAAUCUUUGCAAGUGGUAUCAGAGUCGCGAACUUUGAGGAAGUGGAGCAAGAGGACACAAAAACAAAUCGAGGAGAGGCUCAAUGCAACAGAAGUGGACAUUGGAGCCAUUAAGCAAGAGAUACAGAGGAUAACACCCUUAGAAACGAAAGUGGAGAAAAUGCAC